UAGUGAAACCGCGGACGGCUCAUUAAAUCAGUUAUAGUUUGUUUCAUAAGGAUAUAUAUGGAUAACUACAGUAACUCUGUAGCCAAUACAUGCGAAAAUCCUUGCUACGUGCAGGGAUACAAUUUUAUGUGAGACGGAUAUCCCAAACUGGGAGCUUAUUGUGAGUAUAUGUAAUUGAUUCACCUAAUUGCCAACGAGCAAUAGGGGGUUUAAUGAAGUUUCUGCCCCAUCAACUUUCGACGGUAGUGUAUUUGACUACGGUGGUUGUAACGGGUAACGGGGAAUCAGGGUUCGAUUCCGGAGAGGGAGCUUGAGAGAUGGCUACCACAUCUAAGGAAGGCAGCAGGCGCGUAAAUUACCCAAUUUUGGAAUGAAGAGGUAGUGACAAAAAAUAACGAUACAGUACAUUUCGUAUUGUGAUUGGAAUGGAAUGAAUGUAAAACAUUCUUUGAGGAGCUAGUGGAGGGCAAGUCUGGUGCCAGCAGCCGCGGUAAUACCA
rnacentral:rRNA from 1 species